CUAGAAUUUCCUGUCUGCACUGCAUUCAUGUCUCCAGCUCUCCCACCUGCCACCAAAUCUGUGAUCAGCAUUUAGACCAGCUGAGGACUUUCCCAAGCCAUCCACACCAUUUUCAACAGGGAAAUAAAGGGGGGAAUUAUACCAGUGUUACUCAGAGCUGAUGAGGGUAGGGCCUCAUAGAUGGAGGCCCUGUACUGCAUACAGUUGAAAAGGACAAGCUGUGAAUUAGCCAGCUUGCCCAGCACCUCCUAUAGACACCCCCAGGUUUUGUUGCUUGUCUCUUUGCAGAACUUUAAUAUGAUGGAACCUUCGUAUAUUCUGACUGAUUAAACUGGGUGAGGCUCAGUGUUUUAAAAAUUUAACUAAGCCAAGAAUUUUAUUUUGAAGAAAAAUUGUUGCCUGAGUCCACAUAAGCAUGGCACUGUAAAAGCUUUUGUGUGGCUACAGGCUGCCCCACAGCCUGUCUGAGGACAGCCUUGAGAAGGCCAGGAGGGGCACAGCCUCUCAAAGCUGCUCAGCACACCCCUGGGGGCUGUCAUGCCCACGCUGCACCUCUUCCCCCGUCCCACUCCGGUGGGGCACAAGGAUGGAGCUUGUCCCAUGGCAACUUACCUCCAUGCUCAUGGUGGGGCCUGCAGAGUGGCCAGGGCCCAGGGCAGGCGACCAUUGUGUUCAAAGACAGCAGCGUACCUGCGUGUGGCACUCACGCCUCUCCCUUUGAGCACUGUGACCCGCGGCCCGGCCUGGAGUGUCUGGCCAUGACCAGGGUGAUGACAGACAGUCCUGGCCUGGCCUGGCCUGGCAGACAUGUCCUACCCUCUUCACAAGAGUAGCCCACAGUGCUCAGCCACUUUUGCAGCAGCGACAAUCUGCAGGCAGUGAUUUACAUAUUGAAACAGAGAUAAGACAGCGUAAACGUAAAUAAAAAUGGCCCGGGUAAGCUACCUGCGUAAGGCAGAGGGUUAACCCGGAUUACUACACUGCGCAACACAGAUCCCUGAGGAAAAAGUUCACAGCAUCUACAAAGACCCUUCUGUGUUAUUUGGAUAGUGUCGGCAGAUACCCACAUCAUCUAGCCACUUCCUGCUAUCUGAGAUCAAGAGCAGCAUAAGGAUCGAAGACUGCAAAGGAAAGCAAGGAGCUGCUUUGUUAAUGUACCCCUCUUCAGAAUAUUUCACAGCUACUGUCUCUUCCCGACUUAUUCUACUUUUAUCAACAAGUACAGUGAGCCAGCCCGGCUGCGGGUUCGCAAGUUUCUGUUUGUGUCUGCUCUAAUUCCAGUGAAAGCACAGCGAUGCUGGGUACUGGGAAACAACAACUGAAUAUUUUGGGUUUUUGUUUUUUUGGGGUUUUUUGGUGGUAUUUGUUUACGGGGGUUUGUGCUUCCGCUUAUGAAAUCUGCGUUUUUUAAACGGCUGUUAAUAUUACUUUACGCCUAGAAAAUGUAAAACCUUCUGGGUUGGUUCCUUAUCUUCUCUUCGCACUCCUCUUGAGAGCAAAGAAAAUUGUGCUUACUUUAUGCAUGGAAGAAUGCUAUGCCCCACUAUGAUUACAUUAAUACUUUAUAAUUUUUCUCACAUUGAAAUACAUUGCUAUGAUGAGUUAUGUGUCUGCUGCAUAAUGCUGACACUUGUCUUCAACAGAACUGUAUAUGACCUAUCCUCAGGAAUAACCAGCAACUGAUACAGCAGAUGGGAGCCAGUUGUGAGAUCCACCAGCCUAUGAAAUAUUACCGAGUCAGGGCACUUUUCAAAGCUAGCUGUAUACCACUGAGUAGAGCAAACUCCUGAAUAAGUCAAUUGUGCUCAACUUUUUUUUUCACAAGAGCCGUGUACUUUGGCAGGGAAUCAGCACGUAGAAUGUUGUAAAAUACCUGCAGGCAGAGUGCAGAAAAUGUUUUUUCUUUGUUCAGGGUCUGAAUUCAACAUUGGUCAAUGUUUUUAACUCCUUCCUCUUCCCCAGAAACCGAAGGAAACCACACUUACCUGGAAGGCCAAAUUGUGCACUCCUGAGCGAUCACGGUUGGUCUCUGUCAGCUCCAUGUGCCUGGUAUGGAGGUUUUGGGUGAAUGUUGGAAUGUAGGAAGCUACUUGCAGCACAGGGCAGAAUCAGCCAGCACCUGGUUAAUCCAUCCACAGGACCGACAUCACUUGAAGUCAAGUUAGCUGGAGGCCUUCUCAAGUUACUCUUACUCCCACUUAGCUCCACCUUCUCGCUCUGCUAGCACAGCCCCUUUUGGCCAGCAUGGAAAACGGCCUUCAGGGACAAUGAUGGAGGAUACCUGCAGGCUCAGGAAACAUAUUUUACACAGUAUAUCUCUGGGUGGUCCUAAAGGCAGGACCCGGCUUAGAGAGCAAUGCGGAGACCUCUGGGCUGCCCCAGCGUCGCAGCAGAGCUGCCCAGACCAGUUCUUCCAGCUGAAAUCUACUGACUGUUGAAGUCUGGAGGUGUUUGUGCCCUGUGUCAUCCCAGCAGGACCGUUUCGCCCACACGCUGAGCUGUUUGCUUUGUCUGGGAAACAGUCGAACCCAUCUUGCAAGACAACCAGCCUGGAAUUAUACCUAAGAACAUGUGUUCUAAGCACGGUUUAGUAUAAGGAGUUGCAAUCUUCCACUCCUCACUAAGAAAUUUAAGUUAAUUCAUUUAAGGUUCAAGAGACACAAAACUACAUCUUGUCUGUCAAGGCAAAAGUUUAACAGGGCCUAAGUGGAUUUGGACAACCAGUACCAUAAAUUAUUCCUCCUUUCACCAGUGGAUCCUGUGUUUGUGCAACUAAUGUUAGUGGGAAAUCUAUUUCUGCAGUCUCAUUUUUGCAGCUCCCGUUUGCCUGUGCGAAAAAAAAAAAAAUCCAAAGCUUAUUAUAAUUUUUCUGUACUACAGGCUGUAUGUACUGCUUGUUCAUUAGUACAUUUUCAUCUAAACAUUUUCUGGCCUAAUGACCUUUUGAGAUUUUUUAAAAUAUACUGCUUGAUAGAGUAACCUGUUAAUAAAUUGACACAGCGUAACCUAAAUACAUUUUUUUCAUUAUGUUGCUGACAGAAAAAAAGUAAUCUAUCUCAUUUGACCCUAUCACAAGUGUAAUUUUUCUUCCAGAUUUUUCAACAACAGAGUGCUGUCUAGCAGAUUUGUGUGACCUAGAUCCAAAGAUUGAUGACACUAGCUUGUUUAUCUAGCUUGAACUAAAAAAUUUGUGAAAUUUGGUGAUACAAAUGCACAAAGCUUCUACACAGAAUUCUGUUCACUUUAGUUUUCUUAUUCCCCAUAUAGUUCCUUUGAAUAUUGGCAGACCUCAUACAGGUUGCAAUUUCUCCACGUCUUUAAAUCCCACGUGUUUUGUCCUGAAUAGGUCUAUGAGAUCCUUGAAUGUUACUAGUGAAUAAUUUAGACCUUUUUAAAAAGUAGGCAAGAGUGUACCAUGAAGAAAGUCAAACUCUAAUCCUUCCAGGAUCCAUUUCCAAAUCUUUGUUGAGUACUCAAACACAAGACAGCAGAGUGAGUCAGGCAUAUUCAGAAUGUACGAAGAGACAAACCUAGCUUAAAAGUAGUGAAGGAGAAAAUGAUUUGUUUACCAUUGGACUAAAAAGUACAUAAUUAGUUUAAAUGCAGGAAGGAAUUGCAACCUGAGGGCAAGAUGUUCUAGUUAAUUAUGGAACCGGGUGGAGCGUAAUGAGAAAAAAGAUAUUGUGUUGCAGAAAACUAGCAAUUGCCAGUUGAAUAGUGAAUAGCACAAGGGAAAAAGAAAAGUAAAUGGCUGGUCACAUGUCGCUUUAACCACUGAAAAAGUACUUGCUACUUCUUUUUUGAUCCUUGCCUUCUUUUGUGGAUUUCUUUCACAUUAAACAGGCUGUCCAUUGACACCCUCUGGAGCUGCUAACUGCCAUCGAAGUCAGACCCUCUCAGAAAAACUGACUCUUCAGGCUAUGCAUAAGCAGUAACAUAAACACAACACAUCUGUUUCUGACUGAGUAGCCAAGUCCUCUAAGGACAGCUCUAAUUAUUUGUGAUGGAUUAUUCAUUUUACAAAGUAUUACACUCAAGUGCUUUAAAGUACAUUCGAAAAUUCCACUGGAAGCAAAUUGCCUUGCAGAGUUGUCUUGCACCAGCUGUAUUAUAUAAGAUUAAUUGUUAGGCAGCACCAAACCACACUGUGUGGGAAUCAUAUUACAAUCCUCGUAGUGAUUGAUGCGUAGAACUAUGAAAGGUCAGGUGCACUUCCUGACCCCUUUCUUUCUUGGAAAGAGGAAACAAGCUCUAAUAAAUUAUGCAAUUUUAAGCAGAGGAGUAACAUUUCUUGGUAGCAGAAAUACAAUAUAUGUGUGGGGUUCUCCAGAUAGGCCACACACCAGAGACUGUCAGAGCAGGAAGUCUCUGUUUAUUCUAAAGUGACAGCGUUAGCAAGCACUGGUCUUUUGAGCUGUCUUUCAGGUCUGAAUAGUGAAUGUAAGCAUUAUUCUUCCUGUUUCUGGUACGUGAUUAUUCAUAUAUAUACCCUGAUUCCCUGACAAAAUAAUGUAAAAGAAGUAUCUGGUCCAUGCAUACUGACAGAUGCAUUCUUUAGUGUACAUUCAUAUCCGUUUUCCAGCCAAGAGUCAAAGUUUAACUUGAAAGAGUCAAGUCAAGCUAGGUUCCCUUGCUGCUUGUGAGAACUCCCAAAGGGAGAGGUCAUCCCAGAUCCUUUGUGGAAACACAGGAACAGCCAAGUCCCUGCCCACAUCCUCUGGUGACACUGAAAUCCCACUUUCUCUUUUGAUGUGGUAUCUAUACUACUUGGAUUAACUGUAAUAUUCCUUUUUUCAACACUUACAUUAAAUAACUCCUUGUUUAUAUCUAGUCUUCCUAAGUAAGAAUUUCCUCUCUUUGUCAAUAUAAGGAUCCCAAAGCUCAACUAUGGCCAGUAGUACUAAUUGCUGUCUUACUGGUAAUGAAUACACACAGAAUAAUUAACCCACUGCUGCCUAUAAAAUGAUAUUCUUAUUAAGAAUCUUGGAUUCCAUUUAGAGACAUUGAUUAUCUGAUUACCUUCCUAUGUCAGUUUCAGGGUUUUAGUCUUCACCUUUAUGCCACAUGUAAUAUUGAAGCUAUGCAUUCUAUUUAAUCUCUUCUAUGUUUUUACUUUGGUUGUUCCAUGUAGUCAUAUUUCUGCUUUAAUCUACAUCUUUAUUUAUUGUAAAUUCAUUAAAAAUUCAGUUGGCUUUCCUAAUCCUUAAAUUUCACCAUUUCUUUAAUCUCUUUCUCUGCUUUUCAACUUCCUGGACGCUGCCCUGGUGCAUCCUAAUCUUCAAGAAGCUGCACAAUUUCUGUUCACCAUCAGUCUCCUUCAAGCCUCUCUGAAGAAAGUUUAACAAGAAAACUUUCCUGCUUCUGCUUUUUGUACUGAUUAUUGUUGUUUAAACACAAUUCCCUUAAAACUUUUAUUUACCGUUAAAAAUUUUAUUUAUCGUUCAUAUAGUAAGUUACACAGUGAAAAUUAACAUCAUCAGAGGACACACUUGUUUUUUGAUGACUACAAAGAACUCUUUGUACAUUACCUGCUUAAAAUAAUAAACAGUGCAAAAUUGAAGUAUAAAUAUUUUUAAUGAGAAUGUAUCUAUUCCCUGCCAUUUUUAUGAAUCAGCCAUCUCACAAGAUUAAUAAGAAUAAAACUCAGCUAGGGUUUCUCUUUUUCACUGGAGAUCACCAAUUUUCAAAAACUACAUACAUUCAGUUAGAUUUUGUUGAAAUUAAGCAGUAAGAUCAAAAGAUAAAGAGGGGGAAAGAGUUUCUUGCCAGUGAGUCAGAGGGGCAGUGUGGUCUGACCGCCCAAGUAAAUAGGAGGGAAGAAGGAAUAAGACCCAGUAGCUGGUUUCUGCCUUUGGGUGGGCAGUGCCCUGGGGGUGUCCUGUGGACUGGUAGGUCCUUUUGGAUAUUGUAGGGUGCUGUUGCACUGUGGUCAAUGCAUUGCCUAAGACACACGCUUUAAUGGCAGCCCAUGAGGGUGGUGGCAGUGAUCCCACAUGCUUAAGUGCACUUUCUCCUGAAGCUCUUGACAUCGCACCUAAGUUCUGAACCAAGAGAAAACAGUUAAAUUCAAUUUUGAGGCAUUCCAGGAAAUAGAGUAGGCUGUACAGCUACAGAAGCCCAGAUACAGGGAGAAUUAUUUCCCAUCCUGGCUACACUUUUCAGACUCUAAUGUAUCUCUGUUGUCCCCAGGAGGAUGGGUCUCCAUUGACCUGUACCUUCAGAUUUGUUAACCGUUUGACUUUGUACCAGAGAGAAUUGUAUAUGAACAUCCACCACCAAUGGCUGCCGUGAGUUAACACUCUCAUCUCCAUGCGCAGAUGUAGAUGGAAGUCUACACUGCUAACAGGUCGGUUGGACACUUGAUGGCAGUAUUUGCUCUGGGUUCUUCCACCGGUUACUCCAUUAACUCUGUUUAAUGCAAUCUCUGGAGAGCUGUAAGCAUUUUGGGAAAGGGGUGCAGGACGGAAGGGAAUCACAGAAGAGGAGUGGAAGGAGAAUAAAUAUGAUUUAUUCUCUUCAAUCCUAAUGCCACAGCUGUCAAAAACUAUUUUCCUUUAACUAUUUCAUUUUCCUAGUUAUUGCUGACUUUCUGCCUUGGGAGCUCUCCUUGACCCUGUCUGUUCGAUCUCAGGACAGAAGUUACGUAAACAGAUUUGAAAUCCAUCACAGUGCAGCUAAUAACGUUGAUCUGGUUUCUAUUGAUUAAAAGUGAAGAUAGGAUUGUUAUGGCAGCAUUAGCCUCCAAUAGUUAUUGUCUUCAAGGGACUACAAUUCUUCUGCAGUGGCUGAAGUACUUGUCAACUUGCAGGUGCUGUAGAAUAUGUCUAAACAGGUGAGUAGGUGAGAGCAGUCCCCAGGUGUAAUGAGCAGCCUCCUACACAGCUUCCUGCUGAUUCACCACUGGUGAUACAUUUGGAAGCGAUUAUCUGAGAGUGGCUAGCCUGUACAGAUGACCAAACCAAUCCCCUGCUAAUGCUGCACAGGAAUGGCAGAGGUAGAAAUGUGUCAAGAAACCAUCUAGGAGGAGUUGGCAAGUGCACCCUGGCUCAAUACAUGGUCUGCAGUGAGCAGGAGCACACUAACCACCU